rnacentral:rRNA from 1 species
AGCGAACGCUGGCGGCAGGCCUAACACAUGCAAGUCGAACGAAGUCUUCGGACUUAGUGGCGGACGGGUGAGUAACACGUGGGAACGUACCUUUUGGUUCGGAGCAACUCAGGGAAACUUGAGCUAAUACCGGAUGAGCCCUUAGGGGGAAAGAUUUAUCGCCGAAAGAGCGGCCCGCGUUAGAUUAGCUAGUUGGUGAGGUAAAGGCUCACCAAGGCUACGAUCUAUAGCUGGUCUGAGAGGAUGAUCAGCCACACUGGGACUGAGACACGGCCCAGACUCCUACGGGAGGCAGCAGUGGGGAAUCUUGCGCAAUGGGCGAAAGCCUGACGCAGCCAUGCCGCGUGAAUGAUGAAGGUCUUAGGAUUGUAAAAUUCUUUUACCAGGGACGAUAAUAACGGUACCUGGAGAAAAAGCCCCGGCUAACUUCGUGCCAGCCGCCGCCGUAAGAC